rnacentral:rRNA from 1 species
UACGGGGGGGGCAAGCGUUGUUCGGAAUUACUGGGCGUAAAGGGCUCGUAGGCGGCCAACUAAGUCAGACGUGAAAUCCCUCGGCUUAACCGGGGAACUGCGUCUGAUACUGGAUGGCUUGAGUUUGGGAGAGGGAUGCGGAAUUCCAGGUGUAGCGGUGAAAUGCGCAGAUAUCAGGAGGAACACCGAUUGCGAAGGCAGCUCGCUGGGACGUUACUGACGCUGAGACGCGAAAGCGUGGGGAGCAAACAGG